UAUGUGAUCGUCUCUCGCAUAUCAAUAAGCGGAGGAAAAGAAACUAACAAGGAUUCCCCUAGUAACGGCGAGUGAAGCGGGAAGAGCUCAAAUUUGAAAUCUUAAAGGGUUUCCCUUUACGAAUUGUAGUUUAAAGAAGUGUUUUCUGUUGAGGUUUUGGUAAAAGUUCUUUGGAAUAGGACAUCAUAGAGGGUGAGAAUCCCGUAUUUGACCUUUACUUUCAACUUUGUGAUACACUUUCAAAGAGUCGGAUUGUUUGGGAAUGCAGUCCAAAAUGGGUGGUAAAUUUCAUCUAAAGCUAAAUAUUGGCGAGAGACCGAUAGCGAACAAGUACCGUGAGGGAAAGAUGAAAAGAACUUUGAAAAGAGAGUUAAACAGUACGUGAAAUUGUCGAAAGGGAAGCGUUUGACACCAGUGUUGUUUUUCUGAAAAUCAAUUAAAGAACUGUUUAUGCUAAGCUGUUUAGACUUUAUCAGCUAACUGUUUAGUUUUGAGCUUUUCUUUAAUGCACUUUUCAGUUAACAAGUCAACAUCAAUUUCUUUUGCUGUAAAAAAGCUUGAGGAAGGUGGCUUGAGAUUCGUCUUAAGUGUUUAUAGCCUCUUGCCUAUGCAGUCGGAGAGAUUGAGGUCUGCAGCGUAGAUCCUUCGGGGCUAAAUGCAUUUGUGCUAAGUUAUAACAUUUUAUAGACAACUUGUUGACUAUGAUUUGUCUUGUAGCUUACUCGCUUAUGUUAUUUUACCUACGCUUAGGAUGUUGAGUAGCGACAUACGCAC
rnacentral:rRNA from 1 species